rnacentral:rRNA from 1 species
UUAACUGAAUCCAUAGGUUAAUGAGGCGAACCGGGGGAACUGAAACAUCUAAGUACCCCGAGGAAAAGAAAUCAACCGAGAUUCCCCCAGUAGCGGCGAGCGAACGGGGAGGAGCCCAGAGCCUGAAUCAGCAUGUGUGUUAGUGGAAGCGUCUGGAAAGGCGCGCGAUACAGGGUGACAGCCCCGUACACAAAAGCGCAUGUGCUGUGAGCUCGAUGAGUAGGGCGGGACACGUGGUAUCCUGUCUGAAUAUGGGGGGACCAUCCUCCAAGGCUAAAUACUCCUGACUGACCGAUAGUGAACCAGUACCGUGAGGGAAAGGCGAAAAGAACCCCGGCGAGGGGAGUGAAAAAGAACCUGAAACCGUGUACGUACAAGCAGUGGGAGCACCCUUUGGGUGUGACUGCGUACCUUUUGUAUAAUGGGUCAGCGACUUAUAUUCUGUAGCAAGGUUAACCGAAUAGGGGAGCCGGAGGGAAACCGAGUCUUAACCGGGCGUUAAGUUGCAGGGUAUAGACCCGAAACCCGGUGAUCUAGCCAUGGGCAGGUUGAAGGUUGGGUAACACUAACUGGAGGACCGAACCGACUAAUGUUGAAAAAUUAGCGGAUGACCUGUGGCUGGGGGUGAAAGGCCAAUCAAACCGGGAGAUAGCUGGUUCUCCCCGAAAGCUAUUUAGGUAGCGCCUCGUGAAUUCAUCUCCGGGGGUAGAGCACUGUUUCGGCUAGGGGGCCAUCCCGGCUUACCAACCCGAUGCAAACUGCGAAUACCGGAGAAUGUUAUCACGGGAGACACACGGCGGGUGCUAACGUCCGUCGUGAAGAGGGAAACAACCCAGACCGCCAGCUAAGGUCCCAAAGUCAUGGUUAAGUGGGAAACGAUGUGGGAAGGCCCAGACAGCCAGGAUGUUGGCUUAGAAGCAGCCAUCAUUUAAAGAAAGCGUAAUAGCUCACUGGUCGAGUCGGCCUGCGCGGAAGAUGUAACGGGGCUAAACCAUGCACCGAAGCUGCGGCAGCGACACUGUGUGUUGU